rfam:Klebsiella sp. RIT-PI-d NODE_1_length_2264346_cov_38.3847_ID_1, whole genome shotgun sequence.
CAGUGAAUUGGUAACUGAAAGCCAGGGGCGGUAGCGUG